rnacentral:rRNA from 1 species
CUACUAGAUGAGCCUAUGUCAGAUUAGCUAGUUGGUGGGGUAAUGGCCCACCAAGGCUGUGAUCUGUAGCUGGUCUGAGAGGAUGAUCAGCCACACUGGAACUGAGACACGGUCCAGACUCCUACGGGAGGCAGCAGUGGGGAAUAUUGGACAAUGGGCGCAAGCCUGAUCCAGCUAUGCCGCGUGAGUGAGGAAGGCCUUAGGGUUGUAAAACUCUUUCAGUAGGGAAGAUAAUGACGGUAC